rnacentral:rRNA from 1 species
UACGGGGGGGGCAAGCGUUGUUCGGAAUUACUGGGCGUAAAGGGCUCGUAGGCGGCCAACUAAGUCGGACGUGAAAUCCCUCGGCUUAACCGGGGAACUGCGUCUGAUACUGGAUGGCUUGAGUUCGGGGAGAGGGAUGCGGGAAUUCCAGGUGCAGCGGUGAAAUGCGUAGAUAUCUGGAGGAACACCGGUGGCGAAGGCGGCAUCCUGGACCGACACUGACGUUGAGGAGCGAAAGCCAGGGGAGCAAACGGG